AAAAAAAAAGACACACACACAGAUACACAGAGAGAUACACACACACACAGAAAAAAAAGACAGACACACACAGAUACACAGAGAGAGAGAGAGACAGACACACACAGAUACACAGAGAGAGAGAGACAGACAUACAGAAAAAAAAGACAGAGACACACAGAGAAAGAGACAGACAGCGAUACACGGAGAGACAGACACAGAGAGAGAGAGACAGACACACAGAGAGAGAUACACAGAGAAAGACACACAUACACAGAAAGAGAGAUACACACAAAUACACAGAGAGAGAC